rnacentral:rRNA from 1 species
CUACGGGGGGCAGCAGUGGGGAAUAUUGCACAAUGGGCGCAAGCCUGAUGCAGCCAUGCCGCGUGUAUGAAGAAGGCCUUCGGGUUGUAAAGUACUUUCAGCGGGGAGGAAGGGAGUAAAGUUAAUACCUUUGCUCAUUGACGUUACCCGCAGAAGCAGCACCGAGCUAACUCCGUGCCAGCAGCCGCGGUAAUACGGAGGGUGCAAGCGUUAAUCGGAAUUACUGGGCGUAAAGCGCACGCAGGCGGUUUGUUAAGUCAGAUGUGAAAUCCCCGGGCUCAACCUGGGAACUGCAUCUGAGACUGGCAAGCUGGAGUCUCGUAGAGGGGGGUAGAAUUCCAGGUGUAGCGGUGACAUGCGUAGAGAUCUGGAGGAAUACCGGUGGCGAAGGCGGCCCCCUGGACGAAGACUGACGCUCAGGUGCGAAAGCGUGGGGAGCAAACAGGAUUAGAUACCCCAGUAGUC